UGCUUUGGGACGAAGCUGGCUUUAAGAGUACUAACAUUAGCAAAGCCAACUGACCCCAGGGUUACCUGAAGGAAGACUGCCACAUAACUCUGAGUGAAUAGAUCCCACACCAGUCAGUCCAUCAGAGGAGGCAAACCUCGUCAGGAAGAGGCAAGGUGGCUGUGCCCUAGAUUAGUCACUGUGUCAACACCUGCCCUUGCAAAGCUGAUAAAGGAUUCACGGGUGACUGCUGGUUCGACCACAGAAACAUGUUUCCCUGAGAAAGCAAGGAAGGACGAAAGAGCAGAAAUCCCUGCUCCCUGGGACUUCUGCAGCUGACAUCCCUGUGUCAUGCCACUCACCUCCUUGGGACAGGAUCUACCGGGAAGCUUUCCUUAGGAAAGUGGAAGAAAGUCUCCAUCUAUGCUUCGCAGAGAUCUGUGUCUCAGGGCCAGGAACAAACACAGCCCACGGGUAUAAUUUCCCCAGAUGGCUCCCACACCACUGGCCAACAGCUGAAAUUCUGCUAUUAAAGCUUUGUGUUUUUUCAGCGUGAAGCAGCAACUGGCAACCCGAGGGCCGAGACCUGAGUGGGAGAACCACCGGGGUGGUGAAUGAUUUUCAGGACGAAUGUCCAGAUACGAAAUUUCUAGUGAAUAAAAAGACAUGCCAGUUUCUUCACUGACAUUCUUUGAUUCAGUAAAGCAAGUAUUCUAAGUCUUGAGAAUACAGGCAUAUGAGGUCCGACAAUUAAGUUCAUGAACUCGUCCUAGGAAAAGUGCUGCAUCCCUCAUUGCUGAAUAUUGCUACAGUCACCAGAAGGCUAGGAAGGACUUGGAAGGAGUGAAAGGUGAAUGGAAUUACACUCAAAAUAUUGCUGCCAAUGUGCUGGCAACAGUGGAUGUGACAGAGCCUGGCCAGGAGCCUGAGCAGCAGACUUACAGAGCAUUGCAGGUCUGCAGAUCUCGGUGCAAUUUGUUCAGAGGAUGGAACAACGCAGUGAAUGUUCUACCCUGAAGAGCUGGGAAAGAAGAGUCAUCUGAAAAACGAGGAGGGAGCCAGGUGGGAUGCCAGCAAGUGAGCACAGCAAAUGAAGUCGCAUUUACCUGGAUACACUGAGCCUCCCAGCACUUUAGUAGCAUCAAUUCUAGUCCUGUCCAGGAUAUCCCUUCCUAGAUAAGCCCUCCCAGUGUAACACCAUGUUCAUAAUUCUCAGUGAAGCACAGCCUAUGUCCGUCUGCUGGAGAGAGGCCGUGACUCAGAUGUAUUCAAUUCUCAUGGACAUGGCUGGAUGCAGUGGCUCAUGCCAGGCUGAGGUGUCGACCCAUGCCAGGGUCGAUUGUUUGAGCUUACCAGUUCAGAGACCAGCCUGAGUAAGAGCGAGACCACGUCUCUAAAAAAAAAAACAAUAGCCAGUCAUUGUGGUGGGCAUCUGUAGUCCCAGCUCUCAGGAGGCUAAGGCAAGAGAAUUGCUUGAGCCCAAGACUUUGAGGCUUCUGUGAGCUACGUUUCUGCAGCAGUCUACUGGGGGCGACAAAGUAAGACUCUGUCUCAAAAAAAAAAAAAAAAUUCUCACAGACAAACAUUACAACCACUGUGUCCCCUGACUGACAGCUGCCAUUACUGCUUGGUAGACUAAAACCAGCCACAUCAUUAGAAUGAAUACUGACUGUGCCCCCAGCCACACCAGCAUUGGUGCUAAAACCUUGGCAACACAAGGGAAAAAUGAUUCCAGGACGUACAACGUGGAGAUCCAGAAAACACCCUCUGUCUCCAUAAUUUACUCAAUCAGGGAUAUCCCAAAGCAAAGGUGCUGAUGUUCCUGUAGUUUGUACGCACACAGUGGUGCCCAGGCAGACAGUGGAACAAGCCCUCAGUCUACAGGCCUUUUCUCAAGGUACCCUGAGGCAGGCAGCAUUUUCCAAAGAGAGCAGCACCUAAAGCUGUCUCCCACCCCUAAAGCUCUUCUGGCAAUAUACAUUGAUCACUCCUUUGAUGGAGUGAUGAAGUCAAAUGUCCCCUCCCUCUACAUUGGGGUGGGUCUCUGUGACUUCUUCCAUCAAUAGAGUAUGGCAGAGCCAAGGCAGAUCGAUGGGUUGCUUGAUUCAUGAGUACGAGACCAGCCUGAGCAAGAGCGAGACCCCAUCUCCACUAAACAGAAAAACUAGCCAGGCACUGUGGUGAGCAUCUGGAUUCCCAGCUACUUGGAGGCUGAGGCAGAAGGAUCACUUGAGCCCAAGAGACUGAGGUUGCUGUGAACUAUGAUGACACGAUGGCACACUACCAGAGGGUAAAUAAAUAGAGUAUGUCAGAAGUGAUGGAACAUGGCUGCUGAGGCUAGGUCAUCAAAAUGCUGGGUGUUCCUCAAGGAUCUGCCUCAUAGACCAUCAUCGGUGGCACCCAGCACCAUGUGCACCAGAUGAGCUGACUAUGAGCAGGCUACAUAAGCUAUCAGAGCCUCAAUUUCCUCAUCCAUAGAGUGGGUAUAAUACUGAUCCCUACUUCAUGAGGAUAAAAUAAGAUAAUCCACAGAAGGGCACAGUACAAUGCCUGGCAUACAGUAAGCACUCAUUGUUAGCAAUUAUUAAUAUCACUACUUGACAUUUAGUAGGUGGCCAAUUAAUAUUUGUCCAUUGAUUAAUCCAAUUGUGCUGGACACAGAUGAAAAAGAAGACGGAGAUCCAAGUUGUAUCAAGGCUCUUCCUGUCCGGGCUCUCCUCCUGUCUCCAGCCCCAGGCUUUGCUUGUUCCGACUGCCCUGCACAAGCCACCGCACAGCGCACCCUGCUCCCUGUACCCCCCGCAUUUCCCCCCAAGGUCCAUAUCGCCUCUUGGCUUUUGCUUUACAAUUCCCUCUUCUAGAGGAUUCCUUCCAAGUCCUCAUUCCCCUUUUAACUACUAGCAGUCUGAGGAGAUUGGUUCUGUAGGCUUGUUAAGUUGAAGUUGUAUGUAAGUUAGAACAGGUACAUUUACUUAUUACCUGUAAUAGCCUCCUGGUAAGUGAAUCCACCAUUCCUUAGAUGUUUGUAACUCAGGGACUGUCUGUAUUAUUACUAGUACUUCAGCUCUCUGCCUUCAGAGAACAUCUGUGGAAGCCUUUCCUCACCUCACAAUGAGAUCAAUUCUCUCUUUAUACUGUCAGGCAGUGGUUCACUGUAGGGAAAUUGCCUGCUAAUUUCUCUGAUUCCUUCCUCACCUGGAAGGCAAGAUUCCUGCAAUCUUCACCCCAGUACUCCUAGUAGUCAACCAAGACUAGUCUCCAACAAACACUUGUUAAACAAAUGAUUGCGACUUAACAGUAACUUUAAAGAACAUUAAAACAUUAAAAGAAAGGUAACAAUGUUCAGUGCCUUCGCUUUCUGAAAACAGCUGCUGUAGCAUGUUUUGAAAAGAUUUGCAUCGAAACGCUCAGAUAAAAUCUUGGCAUUUAAUGGAUGGAGUAAGCUUUGGUUAUCUGGAAAAAUAAUUUGCUUAUAGUGCUUUAACAGAAGAUGCUAAAUAAAUGGGUGUGUUGCUCCCUGGAUUUUUCACUGGCCACUCAAAUAGAUAAGCUCUGGAGAAGGGGGCGGGAAGAAGGGAGCCACACUGAUUUCAUAGUACCAAGGAUUGUGCCUUGAUUACUUAGUUGCUCAAUGAAUGUUUGCUGAUAGACUCAGAAAUUUAGAGCUUAAAGAAACUUUGAUGACUGAAGAUUGUUUGAUUCAUACCAAACC